rnacentral:tRNA from 1 species
GCGAGGAUGGCGGAACAGGCAGACGCACUGGAUUUAGGAUCCAGCCCCGAACAGGGAUGGGGGUUCAACUCCCCCUCCUCGCA